CAUCAUCACCUGAAUCCAUACCACACGGUUCCUACACAUUUUCAAUUUCAAAAUUCCAUACUUUUUCCAUAAUCAAAUUUCCAAACUUCUCUGUA